AGGUCUUCGGAUCGUAAAGCUCUGUUGUUGGUGAAGAAGGAUAGAGGCAGUAACUGGUCUUUAUUUGACGGUAAUCAACCAGAAAGUCACGGCUAACUACGUGCCAGCAGCCGCGGUAAUACGUAGGUGGCAAGCGUUGUCCGGAUUUAUUGGGCGUAAAGCGAGCGCAGGCGGAAUGAUAAGUCUGAUGUGAAAGCCCACGGCUCAACCGUGGAACUGCAUCGGAAACUGUCAUUCUUGAGUGCAGAAGAGGAGAGUGGAACUCCAUGUGUAGCGGUGGAAUGCGUAGAUAUAUGGAAGAACACCAGUGGCGAAGGCGGCUCUCUGGUCUGCAACUGACGCUGAGGCUCGAAAGCAUGGGUAGCGAACAGGAUUAGAUACCCUGGUAGUCCAUGCCGUAAACGAUGAGCGCUAGGUGUUGGGGACUUUCCGGUCCUCAGUGCCGCAGCAAACGCAUAAGCGCUCCGCCUGGGAUUAAGACCAGACUGU
rnacentral:rRNA from 1 species